rnacentral:lncRNA from 1 species
CUUUCACUUCCACCCUGUGUGAUUUAGGCAAGUGCUCAUUUUCUCUGACUUGCUACAUUCUCACCUGUAAAAGCAGCCUGAGGUUGUUGUGAAAACGGAAAGGAUGGUAUAAAUAAUGCCUAGCACAUUGCUUGGAACAUAGGACACACUCAAUGCCUGACAGCUCUUGAUAAGUGUGUUACUUCCUAUGUUCCCGAAUUUGAAUUGACUGUAUUGCAUUUGAGAAAAAAGAAGAGGCAAGAUUCCUCCCCACAACCUACAAACAAGCUCCUCUCUUAUCUAAUUUGGAAAUCAAGAAUGUUUUCUUUAAAAUUAAACCAUUUCUUUACUAUGCCACACGUGAAAGAGAGCUCUCUUUUAUAGGUGGAGAAAAAAGUCUGGUGUCACAAGACAGAAAAUACCUCUGGGAUUUUUUAUUCACGAAUAGCAUCAACAACUUGUGAUUCUCUCUUGCAGUCUCUUCCUCCCACCCUUGCCAUUGCAAAGGUGGGGCUAAAAGGAGGGACCUGGUGGGAGGUAACUGAAUCAUGGACGCAUGAUUGUGAGGCCUCCCCAGCCACCUGGAACUCUUCUAACAUAAACUAUAGCUUUUGAUGCCUCAUGUUCCCUUGGGACUUCUCAGGCUGCUUCCAUGAUCUGGCAUCCUGGACUCCGACUGAGAACAGUUAUUACCUCCUUGCUGAUUUCUGGAGCUGACCACACCUGGAAUUCCUUCUGCCAGCUCAGUUCUGUGCUGAAACAUCACCAUGCAAAUGGUCCCCAAAGUAGUCUUAUAUUUUAGGACCACAGCAGCAAACUGACAGCAAUGUAUAGCUUGUGCUCGUGUUUUGGUUGCUUGUACAGCCCACGCUGUGUUUGCAAAGGCAUUGUGAUUAGGCAAGAGUUAUGUUCCUCUAAAAACAAGCAGACUCACUGCCUAUUUUCCUAACAUAUUCCUGUUCCAUGGUUUAGUAUUAGCUAAAUGUUUCAGUUUUCUAUUAAUAUAUAGCAAACCACACUGAAACUUAGUGGCUUAAAACAGCAGUAAUUUUCCAAGGUUCUCUUGGUCAGGACUUUCUUGUCAGUUCUUUGCUCCUCAUUAUAUUGACUGAAGUUACUCAUAUAACUAGAGUCAGCUAGACACUGCUGGGGUUGGAACACUCAGCAUAGCUUGUUGACUUCCCAGGCCUCUCUUCACAUGGUCUCUAAUCAUUGAAUAGACUAGCACAAGCUUCCAUAAGCAUGGCUGCUGGUGACCACAAAAGAGAAGUGGAAAUAUUCAGUCUUCUUCAAUACUGAGUUAAAAGUCCCAGAACAUCAAUUCUACUGCAGUUGUUUAGUCAAAGCAAUUUACAGAACCAAUUUGAUAAUUUCAGGGAGAAGGAAAAUAUAUCUUAUCUUUCUAGUUGAGAAAUGGUAUAGAUGUACAGGGAGGGAAGGAAUUUAUGGUAGAUGAUGACUUAGGUGAUGACCUAUUGCACAUAUACAUGCCUUUCUAUAAGCAUUUGAAAUUGGGAGUCUUAUUUUUAGUUUUGAUGGGAAAAGUGUUCUUAGAGUUCUGGAAGUUUAUUAAUUUGUUCAUUUAGUAGAGAUUUUAUUUUACUUCUUGUUUGCUGGUUUAUUUUUUAAGUAUCCACUCUUUGCCUGACACUCUUUUAGGACAUGGAGAUACAGUAGUGAAGAAGAGAGAUGAGAUUCCUUCUUCUUUGGAAAUUAGAUUCUGUCAUCAAGAGAUAGACAAUAAAAAGUCAAUAAAUAAACAACAAAGAAUCUGACCAUAAAAUGUGCUUUCCAGAGAAUGUGUGUUAUGUAAUAGAGCAUGACUAAUUUUCUAAUGUUGAUUAGAAAGCUGAGUUAGGGUUCUACGAAGAAGAGAUAUUUAAGCCAAGAGCUGAGUGACAGGAAAAGCAAUAGCUAGUGUGAAGAUUUAAGGCAAUGACAAGCUUGAUAUGUUUUAGAAACAGUAGGAAGCCAGGUGCUGUUUAAAUACAUGAGCUAAAAAGGAAAGUGUCCGGCCUCUGAGCCCAAGCUAAGCCAUCAUAUCCCCUGUGACCUGCAAGUAUACAUCCAGAUGGCCUGAAGUAACUGAAGAAUCACAAAAGAAAUGAAAUUUAAAUGGCCUGUUCCUGCCUUACUGAUGAGAUUCCACCACAAAAGAAGUGAAAAUGGCUGGUCCCUGCCUUAACUGAUGACAUUACCUUGUGAAAUUCCUUCUCCUGGCUCAGCCUGGCUCAAAAGCUCCCCCACUGAGCACCUUGUGACCCCCACCCCUGCCAGCCAGAGAACAACCCCCUUUGACUGUAAUUUUCCUUUACCUACCCAAAUCCUAUAAAACAACCCCACCCCUAUCUCCCUUCGCUGACUCUCUUUUUGGACUCAGCCCGCCUGCACCCAGGUGAAAUAAACAGCCUUGCUGCUCACACAAAGCCUGUUUGGUGGUCUCUUCACAUGGAUACGAGUGAGAAAGUGGUGAGAAAGAGAGCAGAGGAGUAGCUGAUUAUAAAGUAAUGUGAUUAUGAAGGGCUCCGGAGGCAGUUUUCAAGAAUUUGGUUUCUAUUCCCAGUCUCAUGAAAGACAUCAGAGAAUUUUUAAGUAUGUUUCUAAUUUUCAUUUCUGAGGUCAACUCUGAGAAUUAGCUAAUGGUGUGGAUGUGGGAGGUGAGAAAAAAGUAAUUAAGGUUAACUCUCAGAGUCUUAUUUAAACAACCAAGUAGAUAAUGUACUAUUUACUGCAUUUAAGUAUGUUCAAGAAUGCACUGGCCCAUAUGGACAAAAAAACGUAUUUUUUUUGUCAUGUAAGUUUCAAAUGUUUACUAAUAUCCUUGUGGAGUUUCAACUUUCUGCCUAACAAUAAUGAAAUCCCCAGCAAGGUGAAGUUAUUAUUGUUGUUAGAACAAAAAUUACCUUGGAGUUUCAUGAAAAGUCACAGAAAGGUUUGAGUGGCUGCUUGUAGGUAUUGUUGGUAUACGUUGUAUAGGUUGUCAUAUGUUGUCACCUUUGCUGGUUAGAUUCUUUCCUGGGAAAGAGUAUAACUAACAUACUAGAGGCAGUGCUUUUUCGCUCUCCUUUUCUCUCUUCCUUUCUUUUCCCCACAAGUAUUUAAUCACCUAUUUUAACCAGAUAUUGAUCUUGACAUUGAAUACACUAGCUUGUAGUCUAAUUGAGGAGACAGAUGUAAUUAAAUAGUCCCUAAAAGGCCACAACUGGAGAUGUAUGUGACUAAGCAAAGAUCACUUCAACCCUUGGUAUAAAGGCCUCUGGGGAGAAGGUAAAACAUCUACACAGAGUUCAAUGAGUCUUCUUAGAGAAAAAGGACUGAAUAUGGUUUGGCUGUGUCCCCAGUCAAAUCUCAUCUUGAAUUGUAGUUCCCGUAAUCCCCACAUAUCAUGGGAGGGAACCAGUGGGUUGUAAUUUGAUCUGGGGGCAGUUACCCUCAUGCUGUUCUCUUGAUAGAGAAUGAGUUCUCAUGAGAUCUGAUGGUUUUAUAAGGUAUAAGGGGCUUUUCCCUCUUUUGGUUGGCACUUCUCCUUGCAGCCACCAUGUGAAGAAAGACCUGUUUGUUUCCCCUUCCACCAUGAUUAUGUUUCCUGCCCUCAAACAUCGGACUCGUUCUUCAGCUUUGGGACUCGGACUGGCUUCCUUGCUCCUCAGCUUGCAGACGGCCUAUUGUGGGACCUUGUGAUCCUCUCCGGCAGUAAACUGUACCUCAAAACUAGAAGAAAGGAAGAUUUAACAUGCAACCUUCGCUUCACCAUCUCUCUUCCUUCCCAUGUUCCAGAAGAUUCUGCAUAAUGAAAACACUGUAAUCUCUCAAGAAAUAUCUCAUAAAGAGUGCAUGAGAAAAUCCCUUCUCCCCAGAGCUUAUUUCUCUCGCAUUUUAAUUCUGAAUGAAGGGAUCAUAAAAGCAUAUCAAGAUCCAUGUUGCCCCACAAAGGACAUUCUGAGGCAACCUGAAUGCCCCCCCACCCACGUGAGAUAGCAAGUGAUUUUUAAGGGAUGGAGUAGGCUAUAAAAGGGAGUCACUGGGAGACAAAAGGAGUAAAUGGAAGAGGGAAAGGAAAGGAGAAGAAGAAGGCACUGAGGCUGGCGUCACAGUCUUGUAUGGAGGCAGAGUGAAUGGUGCAAUGAAAAGUUCCCAGAAGGGUAAAUCAGAGGACCCAUAUUUAAAUCUUGAAUUCCCUACCUAUUGGUUGCAUAAUGUUGAAUCCAUCACUUAAUCUUUUAAUCUUCAGCCUUCCCAUCUGUAAUACGUGAACAAUAAUUACACCUUUCUUAAAGAGUUACUGGAGGAAUUAAAUAUAAAUGUGUGAAUAAAACAUACAAAUUAUUUUAUAACAAAAAAAGAACUUUUUUUCUUUCUUCAAAUGAAGAUCCAAGCAGGAAGAGGGAAUCCACAGUGUGUAUGAAUGAGUGACUGCAUGUGUGUGUGUGUGUGUGUGUGUGUACGUGUUAUGUAAAACUUACUGCCAUAGAUGUUUGGGGAAAAUGUGUUUCCUUUUUAUGUUGAAGCUGUUAAUCAUUU